UGUCUGUGCCCAAGUGAGGGAGGGAAUCCCAGGGAUUCCUUCAGGCUGUUUCCCAGCAGGUUCCCCUGUAGCCCCAGGGCCAUGGGCAGGGAGCCUGGUGGGGGGCAGAGCAAGGGAGGCCUUGGGCUGGGCCUCUGCUGCUGAGCUGGGCCAGGCUCCUGGGCCCAAGGGGAGCUCCUGGCAAGCGGGCAGUGCUGCAGAGACACAGCUCUGCCCAGGAGCAGCUCCUCUGCACAGCGCAGCAGGGCUGAGGGCACUCCCUGCACAGACACAGUGGUUAAAGGCAGGCAGAAGUGGCAGGAUGCACAGAGCUCACUGAGGGAGAACACUUCCCAGCCCUGACCCCGCUCUCCAUACCCAGAUUACUUCCCUCACUCUGAUCUCAAGGACAGAGUCGUUGCCUCACAGGACCCACAAGAUUUCACCUGGAGUGCAGCAGAAAUGCCAAGGAAAGAGUCCCCUGCUUCCAGCAGCACCCUCUGGCAGCACCAACCAGAGCUCUAGCAAGGCACCUGCAGCAGAGGUUUUCCUGAAAGUACAGGUCCCCAGGCCCAGAGGAAUUAAAUGUCAACAGCAGCUCCAUCACCAAGUUCCUCCUGCUGGCCAUUCACAGACACACGGGAGCUGCAGCUCCUGCACUUCGGGCUCUUCCUGGGCAUCUACCUGGCUGCC